GAUGAACGCUAGCUACAGGCUUAACACAUGCAAGUCGAGGGGAAACGACAUCGAAAGCUUGCUUUUGAUGGGCGUCGACCGGCGCACGGGUGAGUAACGCGUAUCCAACCUGCCCACCACUUGGGGAUAACCUUGCGAAAGUAAGACUAAUACCCAAUGACGUCUCUAGAAGACAUCUGAAAGGGAUUAAAGAUUUAUCGGUGAUGGAUGGGGAUGCGUCUGAUUAGCUUGUUGGCGGGGUAACGGCCCACCAAGGCGACGAUCAGUAGGGGUUCUGAGAGGAAGGUCCCCCACAUUGGAACUGAGACACGGUCCAAACUCCUACGGGAGGCAGCAGUGAGGAAUAUUGGUCAAUGGGCGAGAGCCUGAACCAGCCAAGUAGCGUGCAGGAUGACGGCCCUAUGGGUUGUAAACUGCUUUUAUAAGGGAAUAAAGUGAGAGUCGUGACUCUUUUUGCAUGUACCUUAUGAAUAAGGACCGGCUAAUUCCGUG
rnacentral:rRNA from 1 species